rnacentral:rRNA from 1 species
UACGUAGGGUGCGAGCGUUGUCCGGAAUUAUUGGGCGUAAAGAGCUCGUAGGCGGUGUGUCACGUCGGCCGUGAAAACCUGCAGCUUAACUGUGGGCGUGCGGUCGAUACGGGCAUCACUGGAGUUCGGCAGGGGAGACUGGAAUUCCUGGUGUAGCGGUGAAAUGCGCAGAUAUCAGGAGGAACACCGGUGGCGAAGGCGGGUCUCUGGGCCAUAACUGACGCUGAGGAGCGAAAGCUUGGGUAGCGAACAGG